GACGGAGGAUGCAAGUGUUAUCCGGAAUCACUGGGCGUAAAGCGUCUGUAGGUUGUUUAAAAAGUCUGCAGUUAAAGGUUGAAGCUUAACUUCAAAAAUGCCGUAGAAACUUUUAAACUAGAGGAUGGUAGGGGUAGAGGGAAUUUCCAGUGGAGCGGUGAAAUGCGUAGAUCUUGGAAAGACCACCAAUGGCGAAGGCACUCUACUGGGCCAUGACUGACACUAAGAGACGAAAGCUAGGGGAGCAAAUGGG
rnacentral:rRNA from 1 species